UAAGUAGGUCCCGAGCGUUAUCCGGAUUUAUUGGGCGUAAAGCGAGCGCAGGCGGUUAGGUAAGUCUGAAGUGAAAAGCUGCGGCUUAACCAUAGUAUGCUUUGGAAAAUGUUUAACUUGAGUGCAGAAGGGGAGCGUGGAAUUCCAUGUGUAGCGGUGAAAUGCGUAGAUAUAUGGAGGAACACCGAUGGCGAAAGCGGCUUUCUGGUCUGUAACUGACGCUGAGGCACGAAAGUGUGGGGAGCAAACAGG
rnacentral:rRNA from 1 species